UACGUAGGGGGGCAAGCGUUGUCCGGAUUUAUUGGGCGUAAAGAGCGUGUAGGCGGCCAGGUAGGUGGGUUGUGAAAACUGGAGGCUCAACCUUCAGACGUCGACCCAAACCCCCUGGCUAGAGUCCGGAAGAGGAGAGUGGAAUUCCUGGUGUAGCGGUGAAAUGCGCAGAUAUCAGGAAGAACACCAAUGGCGAAGGCAGCUCUCUGGACGGUACUGACGCUGAGGAGCGAAAGCAUGGGGAGCGAACAGGG
rnacentral:rRNA from 1 species